rnacentral:rRNA from 1 species
AGGAAUACGUGGGAAUCUGCCCAGUCGUGGGGGAUAACGUAGGGAAACUUACGCUAAUACCGCAUGCGCCCUUCGGGGGAAAGCCGGGGACCUUCGGGCCUGGCGCGAUUGGAUGAGCCCACGUCGGAUUAGCUAGUUGGCGGGGUAAAGGCCCACCAAGGCGACGAUCCGUAGCUGGUCUGAGAGGAUGAUCAGCCACACUGGAACUGAGACACGGUCCAGACUCCUACGGGAGGCAGCAGUAGGGAAUAUUGGACAAUGGGCGCAAGCCUGAUCCAGCCAUGCCGCGUGAGUGAAGAAGGCCCUCGGGUUGUAAAGCUCUUUUGUCCGGAAAGAAAAGCGCCGGGUUAAUACCCUGGUGUCCUGACGGUACCGGAAGAAUAAGCACCGGCUAACUUCGUGCCAGCAGCCGCGGUAAUACGAAGGGUGCAAGCGUUACUCGGAAUUACUGGGCGUAAAGCGUGCGUAGGUGGUUCGUUAAGUCCGAUGUGAAAGCCCUGGGCUCAACCUGGGAAUGGCAUUGGAUACUGGCGGGCUAGAGUGCGGUAGAGGGUAGUGGAAUUCCCGGUGUAGCAGUGAAAUGCGUAGAGA